GAUAAACGAUCUAUGGCUGAACCACCAUUCACGUGUUUUGCAGGGAAUGUACCUCCUAGCUGAGCGUGCAGUGGCUUCUUGAUGACUCCAACACUGAGUGACCUCCCUCCACUAUCUAUGCCUCCACUAUACACAUAGACGUUUUGAUUGUAAGGAUCAACGGACUGCUUCGAUGUUGGCUGCAUGCAGUGGUUCCCUGGAGAUGGUCUCUCUAUUCUUGGUGAAGGUGCUGAUGUUAACCUAUAUAUAGGACAAGGACGGCUCUUUGGCACUCAUGUUUGCUAGUGAGAGUGGUCAUAUGGAGUAGCGGGGUCACUUCUCACACACCUUCACACAGAUCACAGCCUCAUGCAAGGACAAUUUAAGGUAAGGGUUUGCUAUUUUCAUUAACACUGUAUUUUUAUAUAACCAGGACGGUCUAACAGCUCUGGACGUUGCUAAAAGAUGCUGGGUUCAUCGAACUAAUUAAUGGCACUGCUGGGAAAUGACAAUGAUGACUAUAAUUAGGAUUUUAUCAAUGAUCAUUGUGCUAUUUUUUGUAUCUCCUGUGUUUGUGCGCAUUAUUGUUAAUUGAGGGCGGCAAGUGCCCGAGUGUG